UGGGGAUAUACCGGAUAGGUCAAAUCUGCUGGAAUGCUUUUUGGCUGAAACUUCCGGGGCUUUUGGAUGGGUCUGCGGCUGAUUAGGUUGUUGCCGGUGUAACGUACCGUCAAGCCAGUUAUCAGUACGGGUUGUGGGAGCAAGAGCCCGGAGAUGGAUUCUGAGACACGAAUCCAGGCCCUACGGGGCGCAGCAGGCGCGAAAACUCUACAAUGCAGGCAACUGCGAUAGGGGAACAUCGAGUGAUACUCAUAUUGGGUGUCUGUCCAGCCGUCUAAAAAACGGCUGUUAGCAAGGGCCGGGCAAGACCGGUGCCAGCCGCCGCGGUAAUACCGGCGGCUCGAGUGGUGGCCGAUAUUAUUGAGUCUAAAGGGUCCGUAGCCGGCUUGGCAAGUCUCUUGGGAAAUCCGGCGGCUUAACCGUCGGGCGUCCGGGAGAUACUACCUUGCUUGGGACUGGGAGAGGCGUGAGGUACUCAGGGGGUAGGAGUGAAAUCCUGUAAUCCUUUGGGGACCACCGGUGGCGAAGGCGUCACGCCAGAACAGGUCCGACGGUGAGGGACGAAAGCUAGGGGCACGAACCGGAUUAGAUACCCGGGUAGUCCUAGCCGUAAACGAUGCUCGCUAGGUGUCACAGCAGUCGUGAACUGCUGUGGUGCCGUAGGGAAGCCGUGAAGCGAGCCAC
rnacentral:rRNA from 1 species